rnacentral:lncRNA from 12 species
AAGAAGAAGAAGAAGAAGAAGAAGAAGAAGAAGAAGAAGAAGAAGAAGAAGAAGAAGAAGAAGAAGAAGAAGAAGAAGAAGAAGAAGAAGAAGAAGAUGCUGUCCCUGGCAUCACUGCACAUUCUCCUCCUCCCACACCCCACCCCCCUGUCCCGGGGCUGGGGGACAGAGGGUUCCUGCUUAGCCCAGGGCAGGGGCACAGGAAUCAGCUCAUUAAGCAGAAGUAUCAAUUAGAGCAGCGAAAUGAGCGGUGUGAAGGGAGAUAUGGAUCGGGAGCCAAAGCAAACACUGAAAUCGCAGUUUGGUAAAUAAAUCCUUCUCAUUCCCGAGGGUGUCUCACUUCCCAUACGCGUUAAACGCCAUAUAAAUGUUCCUGAGGCUCUUAAAGCUCCUCAUUACAUCGACUUUUACCUCCUAAAUGUGUUUCCGAUGGCUGAAGAGGAUUUUGGAUUCAGAAUGCAUUUCAGCUUUUGGAUUCUCUGGAAAUAGAGGUAGAAAGAGGAAAGCUGUCCCAGGAAGAGCCCAGAUAUCCUUGGAUUUGGAGAAUAGGGGCUUGGAGCAACCUGGUCUAGGAGACCACAGCAGGGUGGAUGAGCUUUCAGCUCUUUUCCAACCCAAACCACUGCAAGAUUCCAAGAAUCUCUAAGAGCUCAGCUCUACCACUAUCUCCGGCGGAAAUGUUCCCGGCGGAACCGCGGCUACAGCCGGGAGAUCUCCCUGAGCCACCGCCGGUUCUGCAGCGGCUCCUUGUCCGACGGCCGCGCCUCCUUCACCUGCGACGGGGAAGGCUCGGUCAGCUACAGCCGGAGACCCUCGUACUGGCCACCCCUGCCAGCCCCCGUCCCCUACAGCAUCCCAGUGGGCUCCUCGUGUGACGGCCCCGUGGCCACCAGCGGGCGUUGUGGGCUCACGUUGGGCUGGGACGUGGCAGUGGAGACGGUGCCGGUUUAUGGCACCGCGGUGGCAGCGGGGUACGAUGGCGGGGAUUUGGGGGCAGGGUACGGGUACAGUGCACCCCUGAGUGACACCCUAACCACGGGAGGGGUCACUGAGGGCUCAGGCGGAUACGGAGUGGCGGCAUUCCCGACCCCAGAGCCCAUCCCUGUGGGCGGGGAGUGCGCCCAGGUGGUGCAGCAGAAAUGCCCCGUGGUUGUCCCCACCGCCAUCAAGACCCAGCAGUGCAAGCAGAGCACCCAGUGGCCUCCCAUCCAGAAGAAGUGACUUGGCCCAGCAGCCUCUCCCUGCACCCCAAAAAUGAUCCUGUUUUGUCCCACUUUUCCCCAAAAGUAGAAUUUUCCCCCUGAGCGUGUCAUUACAUCGCAGAGCUCUGCGCUCCUCAGGUGGGGCUGUGCUGACAGCAGUGCCCCGAGAACUGCUGGGAAGAGGGAAAAUGGGAGAAUAUUCUUUUCUGCACCUCCUUCGGAUCUCAGGUUGGAAAAUAAAACCUCACCGUCUGUGGGUAGUUUCAAUAUUGAGAUGAUUUCUUUCAUUUCUGGUUCCUUCACUCCAAACGCAAAUGUGUCCCCAAGGGAUCUCCCCAAGGAAUUGUCAUGAUAUUUUACACCCGAUUUAAAUGCAAGAUUUAUAUUAGUACCAUUAAAAUACAGCAUUUUCAGCAGUGAGAGAAGCUCAGGUGGCAACAGGAUGGUGCCAGACUCUUCCCAGUGAUAGGACAAGGAGGAUGGCCAUAAACCAAACCCCAAAUUCCACCUGAGCACGAGGGAGAACUCCUUUCCAUGGAGAUGCCAGAGCCCUGGAACAGCUGCCCAGGGAAGGACUGGAGCCUCCCAGAGUCAUCCCAAACCCACCUGGACGUGUUCCUGUACCCCUCCCUGCUCCAGAUGCUCUCCAGAGCUCACAGCUAUUUCAGAAUUCCACGAUAAGGAGAUCUGCCAAUCUCCCGGCGGAUUUCCAAUGGAUUGUUGUUUACAGCGUGGCCAGGCCAGUGAAAGGUUGUUUACCUGGCCCAGAGAUCGCCAGGGAUGGCGCAACCUGGGCACGUAAAACCUCGUGCAUGAGGCAACUGCAGUGAGAUCCUCCCCUCAACCUGCUCUUGGCAUUUUUGGAUAGGAUCAGGCCCUAAAUUAGGCACAGGUUCCGGUGCUGGUUGAGAGCUGGGGUUUGCCCAACAUUUAAUCUUCCAGGACUCUUCUCUGGGGUUGUUUGACUCAUCCAAAUACUUCUUAGGAAGGGAAAAAAUCCACCCAUAGAUCUGUGCCCAUUUAAAAGUGAGAUGUAAAAGCACUUUGUUGCUUUUUUGUUUUUUUGUUGUUUGUUUUUUACCAUUCUGCCUUCACCCACCUGGAGGGAUUUUCACCCUUUCAACUCAGUAAAAAUCCAGGAAACUUCACCCUGAAAAACCCAAACCCUCUGAGCUCUAAACUUGUGUUUGAUGCCACAGGAUCCUUCACAUGUGAAGUGUUGUAAGAUCAUGUGGGGACAAUUACACAAGAUUUUGUCACCAGCCCUAUUAAAUUCCUUUCUAAAAUUAGACAGCGUUAUCAUUUACUUGCUUUUGUUUCUAUUUCUAAAAUCUACCACUUCGUU